rnacentral:rRNA from 1 species
GACGAACGCUGGCGGCGUGCUUAACACAUGCAAGUCGAACGGAAAGGCCCUGCUUUUGUGGGGUGCUCGAGUGGCGAACGGGUGAGUAACACGUGAGUAACCUGCCCUUGACUUUGGGAUAACUUCAGGAAACUGGGGCUAAUACCGGAUAUGAGCUCCUGCUGCAUGGUGGGGGUUGGAAAGUUUCGGCGGUUGGGGAUGGACUCGCGGCUUAUCAGCUUGUUGGUGGGGUAGUGGCUUACCAAGGCUUUGACGGGUAGCCGGCCUGAGAGGGUGACCGGCCACAUUGGGACUGAGAUACGGCCCAGACUCCUACGGGAGGCAGCAGUGGGGAAUAUUGCACAAUGGGCGGAAGCCUGAUGCAGCAACGCCGCGUGCGGGAUGACGGCCUUCGGGUUGUAAACCGCUUUCGCCUGUGACGAAGCGUGAGAGACGGUAAUGGGUAAAGAAGCACCGGCUAACUACGUG